AGCGAACGCUGGCGGCAGGCCUAACACAUGCAAGUCGAACGGACCCUUCGGGGUUAGUGGCGGACGGGUGAGUAACACGUGGAACGUGCCUUUAGGUUCGGAAUAGCUCCUGGAAACGGGUGGUAAUGCCGAAUGUGCCCUUAGGGGGAAAGAUUUAUCGCCUUUAGAGCGGCCCGCGUCUGAUUAGCUAGUUUGUGAGGUAAUGGCUCACCAAGGCUACGAUCAGUAGCUGGUCUGAGAGGAUGACCAGCCACAUUGGGACUGAGACACGGCCCAAACUCCUACGGGAGGCAGCAGUGGGGAAUCUUGCGCAAUGGGCGAAAGCCUGACGCAGCCAUGCCGCGUGGAUGAUGAAGGUCUUAGGAUUGUAAAAUCCUUUCACCGGUGAAGAUAAUGACUGUAGCCGGAGAAGAAGCCCCGGCUAACUUCGUGCCAGCCGCCGCUGUAAUAC
rnacentral:rRNA from 1 species